rnacentral:rRNA from 1 species
AGUGAACGUUGGCGGCGUGGAUUAGGCAUGCAAGUCGAGCGGGAGUAGCAAUACUCCAGCGGCGAAAGGGAGAGUAAUGCGUAGAUUACCUACCUCCAGGCCCGGGAUAGCCGUGGGAAACUGCGGGUAAUACCGGAUAAUGUCUCCGGACCAAAGGUGUGAUUCCGCCUGGAGACGGGUCUGCGUCCUAUCAGCUAGUUGGUGAGGUAACGGCUUACCAAGGCGACGACGGGUACGAGGCGUGAGAGCGUGUCCUCGCUCACUGGGACUGAGACACUGCCCAGACACCUACGGGUGGCUGCAGUCGAGAAUCUUCGUCAAUGGGCGCAAGCCUGAACGAGCGACGCCGCGUGCGGGAUGAAGGCCUUCGGGUUGUAAACCGCUGUCAGAGGGGAUGAAAUGCCGGGGGGUUCUCCCUCCGGUUUGACAGAUCCUCAGAGGAAGUACGGGCUAAGUUCGUGCCAGCCGCCGCCGUAAUAC